rnacentral:lncRNA from 1 species
GCUUUCUUUCACCUCACGCGAUUUCUGAAAAUUCUCCUUUCUUCAUCGUUUCAGCACCAUUCUUUCUUUAGUCAUUGUUCUACUCCGAAAACGGUCAUUCCGGCGAUAUCUCCACAACCACUUCUUAGUUCCGACGAUAUCUCGACAACCACUUCUCAAUUUCGGUUAUUAACAGGUUGGAAAUUGUUCACCCUAAUUUGAUUCACAUUUUUCCCAAUUUAAUUCAAUACCCCAAUUUUUUACAUCUUGUUUUGUUGUUGCGACUUUAAGAAUCCUUUUCAGCAUUUUGGGUGUUGUUAUGCUUGGAACCUUUAUAUACACUCUUGUCACUGAUGGUUCUCCUUUCCGUACAGCUAUUGACUCCGUAAGUUCUCAUGUUAGCAUGAACUGCGUGAAUGGAGCAUACAUUUUCUUCUUGUUAAAAGGAACAUUCCUCUCCCAUUAUAUGUACUUCUUUUAGUAGACAUAGAUUGUGGUGUGGACAAUAUUGAAUUUGAAAGUUGUGAUUUAUUAAGUGC